rnacentral:rRNA from 1 species
GAUGAACGCUGGCGGCGUGCUUAACACAUGCAAGUCGAACGGGAAACCUUUUAUUGAAGCUUCGGCAGAUUUAGCUGGUUUCUAGUGGCGGACGGGUGAGUAACGCGUGGGUAACCUGCCUUAUACAGGGGGAUAACAACCAGAAAUGGUUGCUAAUACCGCAUAAGCGCACAGGACCGCAUGGUCCGGUGUGUAAAACUCCGGUGGUAUAAGAUGGACCCGCGUUGGAUUAGCUAGUUGGCAGGGUAACGGCCUACCAAGACGACGAUCCAUAGCCGGCCUGAGAGGGUGAACGGCGACAUUGGGACUGAGACACGGCCCAGACUCGUACGGGAGGCAGCAGAGGGGAAUAUAGCACAAUGAGGGAAACCCUGAUGCAGCGAGGCCGCGAGAAGGAAGAAGUAUCUCGGUAUGUAAACUUCUAUCAGCAGAGAAGAUAGUGACGGUACCUGAAUAAGAAGCCCCGGCUAACUACGU